rnacentral:rRNA from 1 species
GGUGGACGCUAAGACAGGUGGUGCAUGGCUGUCGUCAGCUCGUGUCGUGAGAUGUUGGGUUAACGUCCCGCAACGAGCGCAACCCUUGUUAUUAGUUGCCAGCAUUAAGUUGGGCACUCUAAUGAGACUGCCGGUGACAAACCGGAGGAAGGUGGGGAUGACGUCAAGUCAUCAUGCCCCUUAUGACCUGGGCUACACACGUGCUACAAUGGGCAGUACAACGAGAAGCAAGCCUGCGAAGGCAAGCGAAUCUCUGAAAGCUGUUCUCAGUUCGGACUGCAGUCUGCAACUCGACUGCACGAAGCUGGAAUCGCUAGUAAUCGCGGAUCAGCACGCCGCGGUGAAUACGUUCCCGGGUCUUGUACACACCG